GAUGAACGCUGGCGGCGUGCCUAAUACAUGCAAGUCGAGCGAACAGACGAGGAGCUUGCUCCUCUGACGUUAGCGGCGGGCGGGUGAGUAACACGUGGAUAACCUACCUAUAAGACUGGGAUAACUUCGGGAAACCGGAGAUAAUACCGGAUAAUAUAUUGAACCGCAGGGUUCAAUAGUGAAAGCCGGUUUUGCUGUCACUUAUAGAUGGAUCCGCGCCGCAUUAGCUAGUUGGUAAGGUAACGGCUUACCAAGGCAACGAUGCGUAGCCGACCUGAGAGGGUGAUCGGCCACACUGGAACUGAGACACGGUCCAGACUCCUACGGGAGGCAGCAGUAGGGAAUCUUCCGCAAUGGGCGAAAGCCUGACGGAGCAACGCCGCGUGAGUGAUGAAGGUCUUCGGAUCGUAAAACUCUGUUAUUAGGGAAGAACAAAUGUGUAAGUAACUAUGCACGUCUUGACGGUACCUAAUCAGAAAGCCACGGCUAACUACGUG
rnacentral:rRNA from 1 species